rnacentral:rRNA from 1 species
UACAGAGGUCCCGAGCGUUGUUCGGAUUUAUUGGGCGUAAAGGGUGCGUAGGCGGCGGAGUAAGUUGGGUGUGAAAUCCCGAGGCUCAACCUCGGAAUGGCAUUCAAUACUGCUUCGCUCGAGUACUGGAGAGGAGGCUGGAAUUUACGGUGUAGCAGUGAAAUGCGUAGAUAUCAGAUAGAACACCAAUGGCGAAGGCAGUUACCUGGCUCAAUACUGACGCUAAAGCACGAAAGUGUGGGGAGCAAACAGG